GACCCAUUUCUCCCCCAAACAGAACUGAAUCCAGAGGCUUCCUGGAAGGUGAUAAUAUUGUUAGUGGGACCACUAUUUUUCUGUGGCUCAGGACACAAGAGUUAAUUACAAGUUUCCAUUAUGGUCUUCCUUAUGUUCCUGCCAGAGAGCGAACAGAUCUUUUUCCAUUAGCAAUUUCCCCUGAAAUUCCCCUGUUUUCCUGAUUCUGUUGAUAAGACAGAAUCACACAAUUCCAUCUGGUCCUACAUCUGCUUGUCCCCAUUUGUGUGUCCCUGAAGUGGGAAUAGUCUUGCUCUCUGCAGAGCUUUCUAUGGCUGGCCCUGUAGAUGUGGCACAGGAGACCUCACCUUGGGUUGGCCUGCUUGGGAUUUGCUGAGGAACUUGUGCUGCCCACCUACAGAAAUGUGAAUUGUAAGUACAUCAAUUAUGAAGCGCCUAAACAUCUCCAUGCUGCUAGUCCUUUUCCUUUGCUAGUCCAGCCUCUCAGGUUUGCAAAAGCUCUGUCCUCUUAGGCAGCUCAAGGGCCUUACUCUUGCUAACAUGAAAAGAUCUGAUAGAAAUUUUACUCUAAGUUAUUAAUGAGUUAUUGUGCAGCUCCUGCCAUAUAGAUAAAUGUUUCUGCAAAGAAGAGGAUAGAGAGAGGAUGGAAAGGAGAAGGCAAUGCUUAACCAAAUGCAAGGAAUAACUAGUGAAAAACCUUCAAGCAUUUUGACACUUGAAAGAGGGAG
rnacentral:lncRNA from 1 species